CCUACGGGAGGCAGCAGUGAGGAAUAUUGGUCAAUGGGCGCGAGCCUGAACCAGCCAAGUCGCGUGAGGGAAGACGGUCCUAUGGAUUGUAAACCUCUUUUGUCGGGGAGCAAAAGACGCCACGCGUGGCGUUCCGAGAGUACCCGAAGAAAAAGCAUCUGCUAACUCCGUGCCAGCAGCCGCGGUCAUACGGAGGAUGCGAGCGUUAUCCGGAUUUAGUGGGUUUAAAGGGUGCGCAGGCGGAAGAUGAAGUCAGCGGUAAAAUUGAGAGGCUCAACCUCUUCGAGCCGUUGAACCUGGUUUUCUUGAUUGAGUGAGAAGUAUGCGGAAUGCGUGGUGUAGCGGUGAAAUGCAUAGAUAUCACGCAGAACUCCGAUUGCGAAGGCAGCAUACCGGCGCUCAACUGACGCUCAUGCACGAAAGUGUGGGUAUCGAACAGGAUUAGAUACCCUUGUAGUC
rnacentral:rRNA from 1 species